rnacentral:rRNA from 1 species
UAAUGACUCUCGGCAACGGAUAUCUCGGCUCUCGCAUCGAUGAAGAACGCAGCAAAAUGCGAUACUUGGUGUGAAUUGCAGAAUCCCGUGAAUCAUCGAGUUUUUGAACGCAAGUUGCGCCCGAAGCCUUCCGGCCGAGGGCACGUCUGCCUGGGUGUCACGC